ACUCCUACGGGAGGCAGCAGUGGGGAAUCUUGCGCAAUGGCCUAACGGCUGACGCAGCGACGCCGCGUGUGGGAUGAAGCUCCUCGGAGUGUAAACCACUGUUGCCCGGGACGAAUAGCUCGAUUAAUCGAGCCUGACGGUACCGGGUGAGGAAGCACCGGCUAACUCCGUGCCAGCAGCCGCGGUAAU
rnacentral:rRNA from 1 species